AUUGAACGCUGGUGGCAUGCCUUACACAUGCAAGUCGAACGGUAACAGGUCUUCGGAUGCUGACGAGUGGCGAACGGGUGAGUAAUACAUCGGAACGUGCCCAGACGUGGGGGAUAACGAGGCGAAAGCUUUGCUAAUACCGCAUACGAUCUAAGGAUGAAAGCAGGGGACCGCAAGGCCUUGUGCGUUUGGAGCGGCCGAUGGCAGAUUAGGUAGUUGGUGGGAUAAAAGCUUACCAAGCCGACGAUCUGUAGCUGGUCUGAGAGGACGACCAGCCACACUGGGACUGAGACACGGCCCAGACUCCUACGGGAGGCAGCAGUGGGGAAUUUUGGACAAUGGGCGAAAGCCUGAUCCAGCAAUGCCGCGUGCAGGAUGAAGGCCUUCGGGUUGUAAACUGCUUUUGUACGGAACGAAAAGGCUCUGGCUAAUACCUGGGGCACAUGACGGUACCGUAAGAAUAAGCACCGGCUAACUACGUG
rnacentral:rRNA from 1 species